UACGUAGGGUGCGAGCGUUGUCCGGAAUUAUUGGGCGUAAAGGGCGCGUAGGCGGUGCGGUAAGUCACCUGUGAAAACUCUGGGCUCAACUCAGAGCCUGCAGGCGAAACUGCCGUGCUUGAGUGUGGGAGAGGUGCGUGGAAUUCCCGGUGUAGCGGUGAAAUUCGUAGAUAUCGAGAGGAACACCUGUGGCGAAGGCGGCCUUCUGGACGGUGACUGACGCUGAGACGCGAAAGCGUGGGGAGCAAACAGG
rnacentral:rRNA from 1 species